rnacentral:rRNA from 1 species
CCUACGGGAGGCAGCAGUGGGGAAUAUUGCACAAUGGGGGAAACCCUGAUGCAGCGACGCCGCGUGAGUGAAGAAGCGCCUCGGCGCGUAAAGCUCUGUCAGCAGGAACGAUAAUGACGGUACCUGCCGAAGAAGCCCCGGCUAACUAAGUGCAAGCAGCCGAGGUAAUACGUAGGGGGCACGCGUUAUCCGGAUUUUCUGGGUGUAAAGGGAGCGUAGACGGCGGGGCAAGUCUGGAGGUAAAGGCCUGGGCACAACCCCGGGACCGCUGUGGAAACUGCCCGGCUGGAGUGCGGGAGAGGUAAGCGGAAUGCGUAGUGUAGCGGUGAAAUGCGUAGAUAUUAGGAGGAACACCAGCGGCGAAGGCGGCUUACUGGACCGUGACUGACGUUGAGGCUCGAAAGCGUGGGUAGCAAACAGGAUUAGAUACCCCUGUAGUC